rnacentral:lncRNA from 1 species
GUUGGGCCUCCAUACAAAGGCUGCGCUUCUGCCAUGGCGGGCACAGGACAAUGCGCUGCAGAGCACACUGAGUGGGAGAGCAAAUUCUGGAACUGUCGCAGGCGGAAACCACACAAGGGGGAAACAGACAAAACAGCAAACCCGGAAGAACCAUUCCCGCUUCCGAAGCUCCAUGAUCACGGCAGACGCUUCUUAAAACCUCCCGUUUAAUAUCAGA